rfam:Triticum urartu cultivar G1812 contig360751, whole genome shotgun sequence.
CUAAUACUCCCUCCGUCUGAAAUUACUUGUCCCAGAAAUGGAUGUAUCUAGACAUAUUUUAUAUCUAGAUACAUCCAUUUUUAUCCAUUUCCGCGACAAGUAAUUCGGGACAGAGUGAAUAUCAA